UGGGACUCCAGGUGGCCUGGUCAGGUAAGAAAGACCACCCUAUUCCUCCAGUAUAGGCAGCAGGUUGGCUUUCAAGAAUGUCCUUCCAGAAACACAGCUGCUACCCUCAGUCCAACAGCCAGAAGAGACGUGACGCCCCAGAGAGAGGUGCAGUUCCCAGGACCCAUGUCACUGCCAACUCGGCCUCUGGACCCCUGCCUUUCUUCCAAUUCCGACCUCGCCUGGAGAACAUUGACUGGAGGAAGCUGGGCUCCACUGAUGUGGAUAAGGUGGUGGGAACUAUGGAUGUCCUAACACUUCAGGAGAACAUCAUGAACAUCACCUUCUGCAAACUGGAGAAUGAGAAGUUCCCAUACUGCCAGUCCGAGGUGGACCCACUGCUGUUGAAGCUCAUCCGCCUGACACAGCUAACCAUUGAGUAUCUGGUGUAUUGUCAAGAGUUCCUCACCUCACAGCUGAGCGUGGUAGAGGAGCGGUUACGCCUGAGUCUGAGUGGCUAUGAGCAGAACAAACAGCUGCUCGCCAAGCAGGGAGAGGAUAUUACCCUGCUCAAGCAGGAGUGUAGACGCAGGAAAAAGAUGGUGUCUGCCCAGCAGCUGAUGAUGAGUCAGGCCCAAGCCAGCCAUUACCAGUGCCGCUUUUGUGACAAAGCCUUCAUGAACCAAGUUUUUCUACAGAGCCACCUCCAUCGCCGCCACACUGCAGAUUAUCUCGCGAGAAAUGCAAAAGCACAGACCCACAAGCUCCAGGAGGAGAACAACAUGUUGAAGGAGCAGCUGCAGUUCACCAAGACCCAGCUGGAGUCGGCGCAGCACACCCACCAAAUCCGAUUCUCUAAAGACUAUGAAAUGCAGAAAAUAAAUGAGGAGGACUUUCAGAAGUUAGUUGUUAGAUGGGAGGAGGAAGAAAAGCAGAAACUGGUUGAUGAGAUGGAAAAAGUAAAGGAGAUGUUUAUGAAGGAGUUUAAAGACUUAACAUCGAAGAACUCAGCUUUAGAAUAUCAGUUAUUGGAAAUGCAGAAAUCCAAUAUGCAGGGCAAACUCAACAUGGGCACCCGGAGAGCCUCCCCUAGGUUUAAAAACUGACUAUCAUAUUCCCAGCGUAUCCAAAAUAUGCUGUGCAUACUUAAGUGCAA